CCAGCCCAGCCCCGGCCCGCUCCCUCAGGGCCGGCCUGGCCCGGGGCCCGUGGGCUUGGGCAGCGGGGAGCGCCGUCCUGCCGCCUAGCCGUGCCCUUGGCGUUGUGGGCCGCCUGUGCCGGCCCCCGGGGGCUUUGAAAGAACCACAGGAGAGGAGAUAAAGGGGGCUUUACUUCACCUCCAAGUCAAAUACUUCUGAGAAAAAGAUCACCCCUGCCAUCUUCCCAUGGCGCAGGAAAAGCAGAGAGAUACUGUUUUGGAGCCUGCAUCUUUUCUGAAGAAAAUGUGGAUUUAAGGCACACGUGCUUGAUUAAGAAGAACUUCCUGCAUUCUGGACUUUUGCUUCAGAGAGGUUGAGGAUUUGAAAGGUACUUUUUGUACCCCAGGAUGAAAACAUGCCAGUAGAGCUAUGCGUAAUACCUGUUUAUAUUCUGCACAGGAAUUUAUUGUGUUUGUAAUAACCAGAUUGACAUCUAUGUUUUCAGUGACUACUUGGAUGAAAUAAAGAAUGAAGUGUUAGUGGCUCAGCAUGAUCUCUGCUUUUGAGGAGGGCUAUAGAAAUAUUUCAAAUCAUCUUCAGACCUUUCUGAUUCUGGGCUUUUUUAUAGAAUGCAAGCAUUCUGUGCACUGGAUACCAAAGAGCGUACAGUGGGCUGGAGUCAAAACUAUGCU